UAUUGAACGCGUUGUGAAUCUGCAACGGUAGAUCGGUUUCACGGAAGAAAGAGGGAAAUACUGUUUCUUGGACGGCAUGAACGCUCAGGAGGGAGGUAAAGGUCGAGCAGAGGCUAAUGACGCUUCAACACUGAAUGUUCUUUGAGAUCAGGCUCCUCGACUCGCAGCCUGGCAGCCUCUGAUUAUAACAGUGAUGGCUGGACAAGCGAAGGAAUUGCUGGAAUUGUGCUUGUGGAGCAGAACAGAACGUUUGGAGAUGUUUCCAGCAUGUGAUCAGUUAAAGAAGUUUCCCUCCUCGGAAGACCUUGAGUGUGUCGGUGGAGGACAGGAGCUGAGAGUGGCACGGGAGACGCAUGCAGCCGUUUGAUCAGAGCUAAUGCGCUGGAAGCUGCUGAGGAUGCUACCCUUACCGCUCUUUUCCCAGGAGAGACGGGUAGCGAAGAGAAGAAAGGGGGAAUGAAGAUGUUCCCAGCGGACACCUGCAGAGCAUACCUCACCUUCAUCCAUCAGGAAUCUCCCCUAUGAGUUAAUGCCAGCAGGGAACCAUCCUGACAGGUUUGGCCUUAAUGGCACAUUCUGUAGUGAAUUGUGAAUAUUGCAGGAGUGCUAGUUAACUAAGAUGUGUUCCUGCAAUGCUUUUGUGUGGUGUGUACAUCUCAGCUUGGUGACAUGGA